GAUGAACGCUAGCGGCAGGCUUAAUACAUGCAAGUCGUGGGGCAGCAGGUUUGUAGCAAUACAGAUGCUGGCGACCGGCAAACGGGUGCGGAACACGUACAGAACCUUCCUUUGAGCGGGGAAUAGCCCAGAGAAAUUUGGAUUAAUACCCCAUAGUAUAAUGAAGUGGCAUCACUUUAUUAUUAAAGAUUUAUCACUCGAAGAUGGCUGUGCGGCUGAUUAGGUAGUUGGCGGGUAAAGGCCCACCAAGCCUGCGAUCAGUAACUGGUGUGAGAGCACGACCAGUCACACGGGCACUGAGACACGGGCCCGACUCCUACGGGAGGCAGCAGUAAGGAAUAUUGGUCAAUGGAGGCAACUCUGAACCAGCCAUGCCGCGUGGAGGAUGAAGGUCCUCUGGAUUGUAAACUUCUUUAUAUGGGACGAAAAAGGCUUUUCUAAGUCGUCUGACGGUACCAUAUGAAUAAGCACCGGCUAACUCCGUGCCAGCAGCCG
rnacentral:rRNA from 1 species